UACGAAGGGGGCUAGCGUUGCUCGGAAUCACUGGGCGUAAAGGAUGCGUAGGCGGGUCUUUAAGUCAGGGGUGAAAUCCUGGAGCUCAACUCCAGAACUGCCUUUGAUACUGAAGAUCUUGAGUUCGGGAGAGGUGAGUGGAACUGCGAGUGUAGAGGUGAAAUUCGUAGAUAUUCGCAAGAACACCAGUGGCGAAGGCGGCUCACUGGCCCGAUACUGACGCUGAGGCACGAAAGCGUGGGGAGCAAACAGG
rnacentral:rRNA from 1 species